rnacentral:rRNA from 1 species
AGCGAACGCUGGCGGCAGGCUUAACACAUGCAAGUCGAGCGGGCAUCUUCGGAUGUCAGCGGCAGACGGGUGAGUAACACGUGGGAACGUACCCUUCGGUUCGGAACAACUCUGGGAAACUGGAGCUAAUACCGGAUACGCCCUUAUGGGGAAAGGUUUACUGCCGAAGGAUCGGCCCGCGUCUGAUUAGCUAGUUGGUGGGGUAACGGCCUACCAAGGCGACGAUCAGUAGCUGGUCUGAGAGGAUGAUCAGCCACACUGGGACUGGGACACGGCCCAGACUCCUACGGGAGGCAGCAGUGGGGAAUAUUGGACAAUGGGCGCAAGCCUGAUCCAGCCAUGCCGCGUGAGUGAUGAAGGCCUUAGGGUUGUAAAGCUCUUUUGUCCGGGACGAUAAUGACGGUACCGGAAGAAUAAGCCCCGGCUAACUUCGUG